GCUGAUCAUAACCACACUGUAAAGCUGUCACAAACAUGUGGCUUCUACAGUGAGGGGGCACCAGCCUGCUGUGGUGGAAGGGAAGGACGGAGACAUUUUAAAAGGAGGCUGUGGUUUAGCAAAGUGAGACCAAAAGUUGAGGACAUCACGCACUGGGAGUCUUGCUCUUUGAAAGCAAAUACCCUCUUCCAAAGGAGAGGUUUGCUUGUUUCCAUGCAAUGGAGCAUCUAAAGCCAGUAGGACCAAGUGAAGCAGAUGCUAGUUCGAUAGUCCUCCGUGGCCAAUGGACCUGGGACAUACCAGAGCCUCUAAAUUAAUAGCCAGGGUAAGAAUGCUUCCAUAGCCAUUCAGUC